rnacentral:rRNA from 1 species
UACGUAGGGUGCAAGCGUUGUCCGGAAUUAUUGGGCGUAAAGAGCUCGUAGGCGGUUUGUCGCGUCUGCUGUGAAAACCCGAGGCUCAACCUCGGGCCUGCAGUGGGUACGGGCAGACUAGAGGUAGGUAGGGGAGAAUGGAAUUCCCGGUGUAGCGGUGAAAUGCGCAGAUAUCGGGAGGAACACCGGUGGCGAAGGCGGUUCUCUGGGCCUUACCUGACGCUGAGGAGCGAAAGCGUGGGGAGCGAACGGG